rnacentral:rRNA from 1 species
AGGGUUUGAUCAUGGCUCAGGACGAACGCUGGCGGCAUGCCUAACACAUGCAAGUCGAACGAGAAAGUUCCUUCGGGAGCAAUUAAAGUGGCGCACGGGUGAGUAACGCGUAGACAAUCUGCCCUUCAGUCUGGGACAACUUUUCGAAAGGAGAGCUAAUACCGGAUAACAAUGCAUGACACAAGUUGUAUAUUUGAAAGCUUUAUGUGCUGAAGGAGGGGUCUGCGUCCCAUUAGCUAGUUGGUAAGGUAAAGGCUUACCAAGGCAACGAUGGGUAGCGGGUUUGAGAGGACGAUCCGCCACACUGGAACUGAGACACGGUCCAGACUCCUACGGGAGGCAGCAGUGGGGAAUAUUGCACAAUGGAGGAAACUCUGAUGCAGCAAUGUCGCGUGAGUGAAGAAGGCCCUUGGGUCGUAAAGCUCUUUUAUGGGGGAAGAUGAUGACGGUACCCCAAGAAUAAGCACCGGCUAACUAUGUGCCAGCAGCCGCGGUAAUACAUAGGGUGCGAGCGUUGUUCGGAAUUACUGGGCGUAAAGGGCGCGCAGGCGGAAUAGUAAGUCGGAGGUGAAAGCCCGGGGCUCAACCCCGGAGGGUCUUUCGAAACUACUAAUCUAGAGAGGGUCAGGGGCCGG